rnacentral:rRNA from 1 species
CCUACGUGAGGCAGCAGUGGGGAAUAUUGCACAAUGGGGGAAACCCUGAUGCAGCGACGCCGCGUGAGUGAAGAAGUAAUUCGUUAUGUAAAGCUCUAUCAGCAGGGAAGAAAAUGACUGUACCUGAGUAAGAAGCCCCGGCUAACUACGUGCCAGCAGCCGCGGGAAUACGUAGGGGGCAAGCGUUAUCCGGAUUUAUUGGGUUUAAAGGGUGAGUAGGGGGAAAGGUAAGUCAGAAGUGAAAGCCCAAGGCUCAACCAUGGGACUGCUUUUGAAACUGUCAAACUAGAGUACGGGAGAGGUAAGAGGAAUUCGUAGUGUAGCGGUGAAAUGCGUAGAUAUUAGGAGGAACACCAGUGGCGAAGGCGUCUUACUGGACCGAAACUGACGUUGAGGCUCGAAAGCGUGGGUAGCAAACAGGAUUAGAUACCCGAGUAGUC